rnacentral:rRNA from 1 species
CACCUGAGUUGAGCAAGAUAACCCGCUGAACUUAAGCAUAUCAGUAAGCGGAGGAAAAGAAACUAACAAGGAUUGCCCCAGUAGCGGCGAGUGAACAGGCAAAAGCUCAAAAUGAAAAUCCUUUUCAAAGAGGGAAGGAAUUGUAAUCUAGAGAACUGGUCCGAAGGCAUAAUUUCAGUAUAAGUUCCUUGGAAUAGGGCGCCAAAGAGGGUGAUAGCCCCAUACAUGACUGAAGUUGGCUGUAGGAACGGAUUCAAAGAGUCGGGUUGUUUGGGAUUGCAGCCCUAAGUGGGAGAUAAACUUCUUCUAAAGCUAAAUAUCGAUGGGAAACCGAUAGCGAACAAGUACUACGAAGGAAAGAUGAAAAGAACUUUGAAAAGAGGGUUAAAAGACUUGAAAUCGUUGAGUAGGAAGCGGUUCGAGGGUAGUCACUUGUACCGAUUUUUGCGAGAGCAGGACGGUUGCUAGGGAGGAAGGUACGAAAGGCCCAAUUCUUAGACAAUAACGGACUGUUGCGCAUUAUUCGAAUACAAAAGGCAGAUUGGACAUCUGAUGCGGGAAUAAACAGUAGGGGUCGACCCAGGCCUGGCUUGGAGCCCUAUUGCAGAAACCGGGAUUGGAUGUUGAGGGAUCCUGCG